GAGAAGUGAUGCAUUUCGAAAGUGAUGCAGUGCAGCGUUACAAGGGCUGAGAUUUUGGUUGGAUCUUUUGCGGGCAUGUGUCUGCGGAUGCUGCUUCCCAGUUCUGUCCCCAUUUUUUGUGUGCGAGCUGAUGCUGCCGGUGAAUUUAUUAGGAACAACAAAACUGGCGGUCCAUCAAAUUUUUGGAUGUGAUUACCUUGUAAGAGAAAUUUUUGUCGAGGACUGAACUUCAUGCAGAUCGGCUGCUGGCGGAAGUACUGAUAGCUGCUUUUGCUGACAGUGCACCUUUUUGUACUUGUAGGAUAAGGCCGCUCCACGCACUGGUUGAAAUUGUGGAUGAUCAACAUCUGUUGUACUUGUAAACCCAUAAAUGUCAAAAUCUAUUGUAUGGUUAACUUGUAUAUAAAGUUCGCAUCACGGCUGUACAGUUGACAUAUCUGUUAGUGCAGGCAUAGCAGGAAGCCCA